rnacentral:rRNA from 1 species
AGUGAACGCUGGCGGCAGGCCUAACACAUGCAAGUCGAGCGGCAGCGCGGGGCAACCCUGGCGGCGAGGGGCGGACGGGUGAGGAAUUCGUCGGAAUCUGCCUUUUUGUGGGGGAUAACGUAGGGAAACUUACGCUAAUACCGCAUACGUCCUACGGGAGAAAGUGGGGGACCGCAAGGCCUCACGCAGAAAGAUGAGCCGACGACCGAUUAGCUAGUUGGUGGGGUAAAGGCCCACCAAGGCGACGAUCGGUAGCUGGUCUGAGAGGAUGAUCAGCCACACUGGGACUGAGACACGGCCCAGACUCCUACGGGAGGCAGCAGUGGGGAAUAUUGGACAAUGGGCGCAAGCCUGAUCCAGCCAUGCCGCGUGUGUGAAGAAGGCCUUCGGGUUGUAAAGCACUUUUGUCCGGAAAGAAAUCCCUGGAGCUAAUACCUUCGGGGGAUGACGGUACCGGAAGAAUAAGCACCGGCUAACUUCGUG